GCUAGCCAAGCCUGCCCCUCCCAGCCCUGCUCAGACUCACCACUGCCUCCACCUCAAAAUCAGGUCCUGGCUCUCCUCUGUGGGGGCAUCUUUUGCCCAAGGCCUUGAAAGGGCAAUGUCUUGCAGCCCUUGAGCCUUAGUCCCUUGGAAGUUGAGACAGGACUGAGAAAGCAAAAAGCUUGCUGCCAAGUGUGGGUUUCUGGCACCCCCUGCUGGUGCCUCUUAACAUGGCUUCCACGCAAGGCCCGGCAGCCUUCUGCCUGGCCUACUGCUGUGGCUCCCCAGCUGCGUGUUGAUCUUGAGAAGAGAUAGGUGCCCUGGGGACUGUUCCUUGGCAGGAGCAUCUGCUUGGAGCUUCUGACCCAGUUCCCUCCUCCCUACACUGGAUUCUAGGGACACCUUUUGGACAGUAACUACAAGAUGAAAGAAGAUGAGGAAGACAGGAUCUAUGUUGAGCUCUAGGCCCCUCCCAAGGGAGCGCCAAGGGCCAGUGGGAUGAAGGAACAAAAGGAACAUCAUGUGUCCUUGUGUUUCUGCAGAGCCCGAAGCUUCUGUGGGCCUCAUUGUGUAAUCACUCCCUAGAGAGGCCACCCAGGAUGGCCAGGGGAGUACCCUCUGUGACCGACCCCAAACCAGCCAGCUCCAUAUCCAAGGGUUUGCCUGGAGAAGCCUGAACACACAGAGCCUUCUCCAGCCAGAGAGCCAACUUAGCUCCCCUGCGGUCUCUGUGGUGACCCCAUUUCUCCUCCAUGUCACUGCAUUGACCUGCACCCCAGGAUCCCAUUCAGAUUCAGCGGCGUGCUGGUCUCGUCCAGUGCUAUUCGCCUCCCCUUCAUCGGACUCCACAUGGCCACGUGGCACUUUCCCUUCAUGCUCCUUUGCAUGGCAUGCGUCCUCACAAUGUGGUCGGCUACAUAGCAUGAUUUUUUUGUGCUGCUGCUUCUACCCUGUCCUGUCUGGCCCUGCACUGGGCCCAUGCACAGUAGAUUCCAGGCGAAGACUGGCCAGUGAGCACUGCAGGGAGCAGCCCUCCCACCCUGUGACCUCUCUCAGCUGGUCCUGAGGGUCUGGUAACCCCGGAGGGAUGAGGGGAGAAGCAGACAUCCAGGUGGCUGUGCUGUGGUAUCCUGGGCUGCAGGUACUCCGGUUCCUGCCCCCCCCAAACUGAUCCCCCUCAGUAUCCCUAUAUACCACGCCCCUGCCCAUCUGCAUACCGUGCUUGCUCUUUCUGUGGGGCAUUCAUCUUCCUUCUGCUCAAAUCUCUGAGCCAGGCCACAGUGGUGCUGAAGGAAGGACCAGGAACCCUCUAUGGCUUUGGCCAAGCCAGUGAACCUGUUCGAACUCAGUUUCUCCAACUGUAAAAUGAAACCAGUCAUCUUGCUCUGCUGUUCCUAUGGGACCUUUCACCACAUACCCUUCCUCUAAGCCUCACUGCACUCACCUGUAUUUUGGUGUUCAUUAAACAUGGUCUUAUUAUGUGAAUUUCAGGGUUUCGAGUUUGGUCUCUUCAAUCAGAGGGUCCUCCCAGGGGUUCCCCACCCCUGCGUGCCAGAUAGGUCACCAAAUGGGGUCCAGCAGGCUGCAUCUCACAAUGCUUUAUCACUGGAAUGUCGAAGUCUUUUCAAAAACAUAGCCAUUCAGAAGCAGGUAUAUUUGAGCACUAUUUGCAUAGCUUCCUCUGCAAACUUAAUGAACUGGGGAGUCUUUCUGGUAAGCCCAGGGAGGGCAUUUGCUACUUUGUCAUGAUUUCUAUAUCAUGAGAUCUUUGUGCAUGCAAAAUAGUUUCUUUGAAUUUUUCUUCCAAAUAUUUUGCUAAACUAAAAGGUGUUUCCAAGUAACACAUAAUUUAUUUUGUUAAUAUUCUCUAUUUCUUUUUUGUGAGAGUAUAUUUGAGCCAAACUGAUGAUAUAUGCCAGGGAACAAGAUCUCAAAUGCUCCCUCUAUUAUUUUUUCUUGAUCACUUUUUAUUAGCUUUUGAUGUUAAAAAUUAACCAAAGUUUUAGGGAAUUGCAUAAUUAUUUGCUUUUCUAGAAAUGUUUAAAAGUUUAUUUUAAAAACAAAAAAUUCAAUUUAAACCAGCUUAUUCAGUGCUUUGUUUAAAUGAACUGUAUGCCUUUAGGGCUUCAGAAAAUCCAUUUUUCAAAAAUAAUUUUUAAUGUAAGGUUAAGUCAUUGUAUUUAUUUGAUUUUUCAAAGUUUUAAUUAUUGAAUUAAAAUUAGCGUUUUAAUUUUUCCUGUUUUUAUAAGCUGCAUGCUUAAUUUUUUUUAGUUUUUCAGGGCAACUUGUUUUAGAAAAUUUUAGAUUUCAGAAGGUCUUCAUAUUUCUCCUAUUCCUUUCCUGAAGUCAUAAAGCCUUCAUAGUCUCCUUAUGUAUUUUACAUUUAAUAGAUUUAGUUUUUUAUUUUGAAAGAAUUUUAGAUUUACAGAAGAGUUGCAAGGAUGGUACAGAGCUCCUAUAUACUCUCCCCAACUUCUCUGAGUGUUAAAUAUUGCACAUUUAUCAAAGCAAAUAAAUUAACAUCGAUAUAAUGCUAUUAACUUACACUACAGUCCUUUUUUUCCUCCCUGAGUUUUUCUACAGUCCUUUCUCUGUUCCAACAAUAGAUUUAAUUUUAUAGAUGUUUACUUUCCCAAAUUUUUAUUAAAUCCAGAAUGUCAUCAGAUUCACAAGACUAACCUUGGUCAAAAAAAAAAUUGCCACUGAUUAGACAGUACAGAGACUCUCAAACAUGCAACUCUUCUCAUCCUACACCUAAAUGUCUCAUUUGCACAGAAAAGUUACCAAAUGGAGCAGGGGUACUAAGCAUACCCCAUGGUGCUUCUCCAAGAAGCACCUGUUAGGCAGAAAAGCAUGGAGAUUUUUAAAGAUGUGUUGCAAAAAAAAAAAAAAAAUCUUUGUUAUGUUAGUGUCAGAUUGUACUCUAGUAGGUGCGGCAUCAUGAUUUGUUGCUAAAGAUGAAAUGCCUUGCUCUCAGAUGUGCUCAUUUUACCCAAACAUGUAGAAUUUGUCAAAACUGUGCUUGAGAGUCAGGAAGCAGUGGACACACUGACCUGUGACAUGACAGACACACCAACCAACAAAACCUCCCACUUAAGAUUGCUGAGUCCACAGGUGUAGUAUUACCUGGAUGCUUGGUUAGUUUCACCAGUGAGAAACCAUUUUAUCAGUGAGAUGCACCCUAGCCAGAGGGAGCAUGCAGGUCUGAUCUAGUCCAGUGAGGCCACUGAUAACAGAGUGAAAGCUCAUACAGUCCAAGCAGUUCUGGUCCUUGUUUUUCUCUUCGUGCAAGAAAGAGUAGCCGACCUCUGCUCUAUUUCAUACUAAAGGGUGUUGACUGGUAAAGGACACAUUUUGUCAAAAGCUUACCAGCUAAAGAUUGAAAAGAAGAGUUGUGUGAAUAACUUUACCUUUCCAUUCCAGUGUUGGAUGGUUAUUGGCUGAAAAAUGGAUAACCGGACUGACACUUUGGAGGAUCUGAAUGAAUAAUAAAAAAUUAUGAGGACCAUGUAAAAAGUAACUAAUGUGUGCGCCUGUCAUGCAGAUGUGCUGCAUAAAUGAGAGGAAUGAAGGGAGCGGCCAUCAGGAAUUGUCCAAAUGUCUCAGUCAAGAAUUGCUGGGGGGAAAAGAAUGGCUUGUAUCUCUGUCAUGUGGAAAACCCAGUAUCAAAAAGUCAUGCUCAUCGAAAUGAGAA